CCUACGGGGGGCAGCAGUGGGGAAUAUUGGACAAUGGGCGAAAGCCUGAUCCAGCCAUGCCGCGUGUGUGAAGAAGGCCUUCGGGUUGUAAAGCACUUUCAGUGGGGAAGAAAGCCUUGGGGCUAAUACCCUCGAGGAAGGACAUCACCCACAGAAGAAGCACCGGCUAACUCCGUGCCAGCAGCCGCGGUAAUACGGAGGGUGCGAGCGUUAAUCGGAAUUACUGGGCGUAAAGCGCGCGUAGGCGGUCUGAUAAGCCGGUUGUGAAAGCCCCGGGCUCAACCUGGGAACGGCAUCCGGAACUGUCAGGCUAGAGUGCAGUAGAGGAAGGUAGAAUUCCCGGUGUAGCGGUGAAAUGCGUAGAGAUCGGGAGGAAUACCAGUGGCGAAGGCGGCCUUCUGGACUGACACUGACGCUGAGGUGCGAAAGCGUGGGUAGCAAACAGGAUUAGAUACCCCAGUAGUC
rnacentral:rRNA from 1 species